GGGUUGUGAGGUUAAGCGACUAAGCGUACACGGUGGAUGCCCUGGCAGUCAGAGGCGAUGAAGGACGUGCUAAUCUGCGAAAAGCGUCGGUAAGGUGAUAUGAACCGUUAUAACCGGCGAUGUCCGAAUGGGGAAACCCAGUGCAAUUCGUUGCACUAUCGUUAACUGAAUACAUAGGUUAACGAGGCGAACCGGGGGAACUGAAACAUCUAAGUACCCCGAGGAAAAGAAAUCAACCGAGAUUCCCCCAGUAGCGGCGAGCGAACGGGGAGCAGCCCAGAGUCUGAAUCAGCUUGUGUGUUAGUGGAACGGUCUGGAAAGUCCGACGGUACAGGGUGAUAGUCCCGUACACCAAAAUGCACAGGCUGUGAACUCGAAGAGUAGGGCGGGACACGUGGUAUCCUGUCUGAAUAUGGGGGGACCAUCCUCCAAGGCUAAAUACUCCUGACUGACCGAUAGUGAACCAGUACCGUGAGGGAAAGGCGAAAAGAACCCCGGCGAGGGGAGUGAAAAAGAACCUGAAACCGUGUACGUACAAGCAGUGGGAGCACCUUCGGGUGUGACUGCGUACCUUUUGUAUAAUGGGUCAGCGACUUAUAUUCUGUAGCAAGGUUAACCGUAUAGGGGAGCCGCAGGGAAACCGAGUCUUAACUGGGCGUUAAGUUGCAGGGUAUAGACCCGAAACCCGGUGAUCUAGCCAUGGGCAGGUUGAAGGUUGGGUAACACUAACUGGAGGACCGAACCGACUAAUGUUGAAAAAUUAGCGGAUGACUUGUGGCUGGGGGUGAAAGGCCAAUCAAACCGGGAGAUAGCUGGUUCUCCCCGAAAGCUAUUUAGGUAGCGCCUCGUGAACUCAUCUUCGGGGGUAGAGCACUGUUUCGGCUAGGGGGUCAUCCCGACUUACCAACCCGAUGCAAACUACGAAUACCGAAGAAUGUUAUCACGGGAGACACACGGCGGGUGCUAACGUCCGUCGUGAAGAGGGAAACAACCCAGACCGCCAGCUAAGGUCCCAAAGUCAUGGUUAAGUGGGAAACGAUGUGGGAAGGCACAGACAGCCAGGAUGUUGGCUUAGAAGCAGCCAUCAUUUAAAGAAAGCGUAAUAGCUCACUGGUCGAGUCGGCCUGCGCGGAAGAUGUAACGGGGCUAAACCAUGCACCGAAGCUGCGGCAGCGACACUAUGUGUUGUUGGGUAGGGGAGCGUUCUGUAAGCCUGCGAAGGUGUGCUGUGAGGCAUGCUGGAGGUAUCAGAAGUGCGAAUGCUGACAUAAGUAACGAUAAAGCGGGUGAAAAGCCCGCUCGCCGGAAGACCAAGGGUUCCUGUCCAACGUUAAUCGGGGCAGGGUGAGUCGACCCCUAAGGCGAGGCCGAAAGGCGUAGUCGAUGGGAAACAGGUUAAUAUUCCUGUACUUGGUGUUACUGCGAAGGGGGGACGGAGAAGGCUAUGUUAGCCGGGCGACGGUUGUCCCGGUUUAAGCAUGUAGGCUGGUUGUCCAGGCAAAUCCGGAUAAUCAAGGCUGAGGUGUGAUGACGAGGCACUACGGUGCUGAAGUAACAAAUGCCCUGCUUCCAGGAAAAGCCUCUAAGCAUCAGGUAACAUCAAAUCGUACCCCAAACCGACACAGGUGGUCAGGUAGAGAAUACCAAGGCGCUUGAGAGAACUCGGGUGAAGGAACUAGGCAAAAUGGUGCCGUAACUUCGGGAGAAGGCACGCUGGUGUGUAGGUGAAGUCCCUGCGGAUGGAGCUGAGACCAGUCGAAGAUACCAGCUGGCUGCAACUGUUUAUUAAAAACACAGCACUGUGCAAACACGAAAGUGGACGUAUACGGUGUGACGCCUGCCCGGUGCCGGAAGGUUAAUUGAUGGGGUUAUCCGUAAGGAGAAGCUCUUGAUCGAAGCCCCGGUAAACGGCGGCCGUAACUAUAACGGUCCUAAGGUAGCGAAAUUCCUUGUCGGGUAAGUUCCGACCUGCACGAAUGGCGUAAUGAUGGCCAGGCUGUCUCCACCCGAGACUCAGUGAAAUUGAACUCGCUGUGAAGAUGCAGUGUACCCGCGGCAAGACGGAAAGACCCCGUGAACCUUUACUAUAGCUUGACACUGAACAUUGAGCCUUGAUGUGUAGGAUAGGUGGGAGGCUUUGAAGCGUGGACGCCAGUCUGCGUGGAGCCAACCUUGAAAUACCACCCUUUAAUGUUUGAUGUUCUAACGUUGGCCCCUGACCGGGGUUGCGGACAGUGUCUGGUGGGUAGUUUGACUGGGGCGGUCUCCUCCCAAAGCGUAACGGAGGAGCACGAAGGUUAGCUAAUCCUGGUCGGACAUCAGGAGGUUAGUGCAAUGGCAUAAGCUAGCUUGACUGCGAGCGUGACGGCGCGAGCAGGUGCGAAAGCAGGUCAUAGUGAUCCGGUGGUUCUGAAUGGAAGGGCCAUCGCUCAACGGAUAAAAGGUACUCCGGGGAUAACAGGCUGAUCUCGCCCAUGAGUUCAUAUCUACGGCGGUGUUUUGCACCUCAAUGUCUGCUGAUCACAUCCUGGGGCUGAAGUAGGUCCCAAGGAUAUGGCUGUUAGCCAUUUAAAGUUGUACGCGAACUGGGUUUAGACAGUCGUUAUAAAGUUCGGGCCCUAUCUGCCGUGGGCGCUGGAGAAUUGAGGGGGGCUGCUCCUAGUACGAGAGGACCGGAGUGGACGCAUCACUGGUGUUCGGGUUGUCAUGCCAAUGGCACUGCCCGGUAGCUAAAUGCGGAAGAGAUAAGUGCUGAAAGCAUCUAAGCACGAAACUUGCCCCGAGAUGAGUUCUCCCUGAGACUUUAAGUCUCCUGAAGGAACGUUGAAGACGACGACGUUGAUAGGCCGGGUGUGUAAGCGCAGCGAUGCGUUGAGCUAACCGGUACUAAUGAACCGUGAGGCUUAACCUUACAACGCCGAAG
rnacentral:rRNA from 1 species